GAAAUUUUGGGUCGCACUCCAUAUGUGACAAUUAUAACGAAACACAGGUUAGCUUGGUCCCUCCACAAGGACGUCAUACAAAAUCAAGACGCGUUACACAUUUUU